rnacentral:tRNA from 1 species
AGUUCUGUAGCUUCAACGGUAGAGCAUUUGCAUAUUGCUUGCAAGUGGUUGCAAGUUCGAUUCUUGUCGGGACUA